GAUGAAGAACGCAGCGAAAUGCGAUAAGUAAUGUGAAUUGCAGAAUUCAGUGAAUCAUCGAAUAUUUGAACGCACAUUGCGCCCGCCAGUAUUCUGGCGGGCAUGCCUGUUCGAGCGUCAUUUCAACCAUCAAGCCCCCGGCUUGUGUUGGGGGCCUGCGGCUGCCGCAGGCCCUGAAAACCAGUGGCGGGCUCGCUAGUCACUCCGAGCGUAGUAAUACAUCUCGCUCAGGGCGUGCUGCGGGUUCCGGCCGUUAAAAGCCUUAUUUACCCAAGGUUGACCUCGGAUCAGGUAGGAAGACCCGCUGAACUUAAGCAUAUCAAUAAGCGGAGGA
rnacentral:misc_RNA from 1 species